GGCGGCAAUAGCGCGGUGGUCCCACCUGACCCCAUGCCGAACUCAGAAGUGAAACGCCGUAGCGCCGAUGGUAGUGUGGGGUCUCCCCAUGCGAGAGUAGGACACUGCCAAGC
rnacentral:rRNA from 3 species